CCUAAAAUAAGUUAAUUUAAAACUAUUGAACUUUUAAUUCAAUUUUACUAUAAAGUUUUUAGGU